rnacentral:piRNA from 1 species
CCAGACAAGGCUUACAGGUUAGUUCAGG